ACCUGAGGCAAAGGCGAUGGAUGG
rnacentral:siRNA from 1 species